GCUUUAUUGUGGUUUUUGUUCAUCUGAUCAUUACAUCUAAACCUGGAAUGCGUUUUUGUCUCUCCUCCCAGGAUUACUGAGGAUGAAAAUGACAAAUUCCUGAAGCCUUGGCUGUAGGAGCAAAAUAGUCAAUAUACUUUCAGUCUAUGAAUUUUAAUACAAUUAUUGGACUAAGUGCUUUGGAUGGUUAUGCUCUUGAGUCAAGAAGUAUGUUGUUCCUUUCCUAUUACCUUAGGCUGCUACUCAAAAAUUUCCCAAUAAAAUCUUAUCAAUGGCUUUUGUGGAGCUAGAUUGGAAAACUUGUUUCCUAUGCAAGGAUGAAAACCAUCUUUAAAAAACUCCAUAUUGAGGUAAAGUAAUCCUUAUUCUCUCCUCCAUCUCUUAUGUACACAUGCAGUUGGAAAAUAAGCCCACAUGGUGGGUGGAGAGAUGGAAGGCCUCAUGGUGGG
rnacentral:lncRNA from 9 species